rnacentral:lncRNA from 1 species
CGCUAUACAAACUUAACAACUCACUCUGACUAUGAUUAACAACAAUCUCAACAACCAUUUCCAUCUAUCAACACCCCAAACAUACUAGUCCACCAAAAUCUCAUAACGACAAUAAUCAUCCACAAUUCCAUGGCCUAUGCCAUAAUAAUUUAUUAACACCACCUUCCAUAACGUUUCCAAUCCCCCAGUUCUAACCAAUUCAAGAACAACAGAGUAAACAGCCAGCUGCUAGUGAAUCGAAAUAGGCCUCACAUAGCUUCACUAGACUUUGAUUUUGUAUUUUAGAAAAAGAAAUAAAUAUCAAAACAAUUAUGCUAGUGAAUCUAAAUAAGCC